GAUGAAGAACGCAGCGAAAUGCGAUAAGUAAUGUGAAUUGCAGAAUUCAGUGAAACAUCGAAUCUUUGAACGCACAUUGCGCCCCCUGGUAUUCCGGGGGGCAUGCCUGUCCGAGCGUCAUUACAACCCUCAAGCUCAGCUUGGUGUUGGGCCCCGCCGCCCCGGCGGGCCCUAAAGUCAGUGGCGGUGCCGUCCGGCUCCGAGCGUAGUAAUUCUUCUCGCUCUGGAGGUCCGGUCGUGUGCUCGCCAGCAACCCCCAAUUUUUUUCAGGUUGACCUCGGAUCAGGUAGGGAUACCCGCUGAACUUAAGCAUAUCAAUAAGCGGAGGA
rnacentral:misc_RNA from 1 species